rnacentral:rRNA from 1 species
UACGGGGGGGGGCAAGCGUUGUUCGGAAUUACUGGGCGUAAAGGGCUCGUAGGCGGCCAACUAAGUCAGACGUGAAAUCCCUCGGCUUAACCGGGGAACUGCAUCUGAUACUGGAUGGCUUGAGAUUGGGAGAGGGAUGCGGAAUUCCAGGUGUAGCGGUGAAAUGCGUAGAUAUCUGGAGGAACACCGGUGGCGAAGGCGGCAUCCUGGACCAACACUGACGCUGAGGAGCGAAAGCCAGGGGAGCAAAGCGGG